GACGGAGGAUGCAAGCGUUAUCCGGAUUUAUUGGGUUUAAAGGGAGCGUAGGCGGGAUAAUAAGUCAGUGGUGAAAUCUUGGGGCUCAACCCCGAAACUGCCAUUGAUACUGUUAACCUAGAGUAUAUUUGAUGUGGGCGGAAUGUGUCAUGUAGCGGUGAAAUGCUUAGAUAUGACACAGAACACCGAUUGCGUAGGCAGCUCACAAAACUGUAACUGACGCUGAGGCUCGAAAGCGUGGGGAUCAAACAGG
rnacentral:rRNA from 1 species